CCCUGGUAGUUAAUAUAUUGAUCGUUCUCUCCCCUGGUAGUUAAUGUAUUGAUCGUUCUCUCCCCUGGUAGUUAAUAUAUUGAUCGUUCUCUCCCCUGGUAGUUAAUAUAUUGAUCGUUCUCUCCCCUGGUAGUUAAUAUAUUGAUCGUUCUCUCCCCUGGUAGUUAAUAUAUUGAUUGUUCACUCCCCUGGUUAGAGGGGAACCAGCAGUGUUGUGGAUCUUCUGCACUACUUUACAAGACCAACCAAUAAUCCCUGUCUUUUGUGAUGCUAGCAACUGGAGCUACUUACAGCUGGGACUCCCUGACCACAAACCUUGUGUUGGAUUGUUUUCUUAAUAUACAGGUGGAACUGCCAAAAUAAAGGAAACACUAUACUUGAAGGCAGGUGCUUCCACACAGGUGUGGUUCCUGAGUUCAUUAAGCAAUUAACAUCCCAUUAUGCUUAGGGUCAUGUAUACAAAUGUCCCAGUUGCCCAUUAUUUUGGCUACCAUGUCUAGAAGAAGAGAUGUCAGUGACUUAGAAAGAGGGGUCUGAAAGGAGCAUAGGGGGUUUGAAGGCUGUGUGUGUCAGUCAACAGAUGUCAAGCCGACACUGCGUUUUCUGCAUCAACAAAACACCAAAUGAUGUAAUUUCUCGUGGAAGAAUGGUGUCUCAUUCCUCCAAUAGAGUUCCAGACUCUAGUAGAAUCUAUGACGAGGUGCAUUGAACCUGUUCUGAUUGGUGGAGGCCCAACGCCCUAUUAGGACACUUGUUGGUGUUUAUACUUUAUUUUGGCAGUUACCUGUAUAUUGUAAUGAAUUCAGGUGACUAUGCAGCUGCUGGGUUAUAUAGGCCUGUGUAGGGUUGGGAUAAUCUAAUCCUGUGUAGGGUUGGUGGGUUGGGAUAAUCUAAUCCUGUGUAGGGUUGGUGGGUUGGGAUAAUCUAAUCCUGUGUAGGGUUGGGAUAAUCUAAUCCUGUGUAGGGUUGGGAUAAUCUAAUCCUGUGUAGGGUUGGGAUAAUCUAAUCCUGUGUAGGGUUGGGAUAAUCUAAUCCUGUGUAGGGUUGGGAUAAUCUAAUCCUGUGUAGGGUUGGGAUAAUCUAAUCCUGUGUAGGGUUGGGAUAAUCUAAUCCUGUGUAGGGUUGGGAUAAUCUAAUCCUGUGUAGGGUUGGGAUAAUCUAAUCCUGUUACACCACCUAGUAGCAUCCAACAUUUUGGCGCUAAACAUUUUAUAUAUCCAAAUCCCAUCCUUCAUGGAGAUUUACUGAAUCAUAUUCACGUCAUCUUAAUCUGGGAUCCUAAAAUAGUUUCCCCCCCAGAGGGAGUCUGUGAUUGUGUCCUAAACGGCCACCUAUUCCCUAUCUAGUGAACUCUUUUUGACAAGGGGCCAUAGGACUUUUUGUCAAGAGUAGUGCGCUAAAUAAGGGAAUAGGGUUGCCAAUUGAGAAGCACUCUGUAUUAUAGCGAUAAACACUUUUAACAUAUGCAUUUAUUUCCGUGUUUUUCUUUUGUUUUCUGAGAACCAUAUUGAAUUUGUUUGUCAGUGUCAUAUGUGAUGUCAACUUGUUGUGCUGUUGUUACCUAUAAAUAAAUAAAAACAGGCUUGGCAUCAAUUCCAUUCAGGAAGUUGACUGAAGAUCACUUUUAAAAUAGAAUCAUUUUGAGGAGAAUUGGAAUUUCAGUUUACUUCAUGAAUUGACUGAAUUGAAAUGGAAUUGACCCCCCCCCCCAACCCUGUACCUGAAUGAUAUCCACCUGUCCAAAUGUUGAGGACAAUUAAUACAUGUCUGUCUACUCACCUGUAACAACAGUGUUAACUCAUCCUGUAGUAGGCAAUAAAUACAUUGAUUCAAG